AUGCAGGAGCCUCCUGCUGGAGGUCCCUGCAUGCAGCAGCAAGGCUCCAUUAUUUACCUUGUUAAUCGUGUGUAUAGGUGCUUCUCCAAAAAAUCAUGUUUCGUUAACAACAUGUUUGUUAAAGCACCUAUAAAUAAAUGUAAAAAAAAUAACAACACAACAAGAAACAAUAAAACAGUGGGAAACAAGGCAAAAAUUACAAACAUAACCGCAGGUCACUCCGGCUGGCGACCCAAGCCAAUAUCUACUGCUUCAAAAAAUAUCAAAUUAAAAAAAAUAUUUAAACGGAAGCAAAAAGAAGGGGAGAGUGAACCAGAAAGAAGAAAGUUGGGAAAGACUCUUACACGUAGUAUUUUUGGAUUCUGAGAUAAUGCUUUGCGCGUACGUACCUACGGCACUGAGCGAAAUCAGUUAAGCCAACGCGCGCAACCGCGGGUCCGCUGGGGAAGGUAUGCAAUAUUGGGGAGCAAUGUAAGGGCUUAUAUUUUAGGGGGGUUCCGAAUGGUGGGACUUAUUUUUUUAAAUCCACAAAACCAAAUGUUGCACGGCCUUAAAUGGUUCUAUGUGAUUCAUAAGAGAUGACUACAAAGAGCUCUUAUGAUUAUGCAUAACAUUUGUUGGAGGUGUGCCCCCGAAUGGAGUAAAAUUCAUAUGCCCUGGCACAUAUAAUAGAACGAAAUGGAUGGCAAAGGCGAUUUAUACCCUCAAAAUUUACAUGUUCCAGAGCCAAUUUUCUUUAACUAACAAUGAAAAGAAGUCGCUCAUCGCGAUCAAUUUAUUUAUUAUUAAAACCUAUGUUAGGUAUUGGUUCACGGCUCCUUCCUUGAUUGGGGUGCCUCUUAACGACUUGAUUCUGAUGGAUGAUAUAAAAAAUUUGCAUCUGCGGACAAAAGUACCGCCACUGUUGCCAUGAGGAAAAUGAACAACCAUUAAUGGUAUUUCAACGAGAGUUUGGUGCCUCUCUCUCUCUCUCUCUCUCUCUCUCUUUGAUCAUCAAAUCGAUCUCGCAACGAAAAGAGCCUGCGUUGCAAAUUUCAAGAGUAAUUUAGGAUUACCGGAUCCCCCAGUGCGACUCCACGUUGACAAUGGAGAAUAUCUAGUUUGAAGUGAUUUGUUUUCCACCAUUGGCUUCAAGUUUUUCGACAUUUUGGGUCUACCACGCGGAUUUCUCGACGUGGCCCCACGUCAGUGGUCCUCGGAUACCGAUUACUUGGGGGUACGGCAAAUUUUUAAAGCUUUAAAGGUAGUUAACGACCACGCAGAGCGAGCAAUUAAACACAGGUGCAAUUACAACCAAGAGUUAACGAGAGAUGAGGAACAAUUCCAAAGUAUUCUGCAAGUGACCUCUCAAGUCAAUUAAACGAUCGACAAAUCGAAAAAAAUUAGGUCAGCUUUCGCAUGCUUUUCCUUUGUUCUUUUGAGAGUUCUUUUGGGAGUGCUGUCAAUUUAUGAGAUGUAACAUUAGGGGUUUUCAAGUCGAGGGUGAGAGACCCCUUCAGGGGUGAAGCUUGGGAGGGAAAUGUGAAUUUAUUGUUUUGUUAAUUCUUUUAUCUCAUCUUAUAAUUUGUUCGAAUUUGUUCACAUUUGUUUUUGUUUCCUUUCUGCCAUUCUUGUUUUGUUUUCAUUGUUGUAAUUUUGUUAAUGGACUUGGUCCGUGUAUUUUGUAAACAAAUAAAUAAAUAAAUAAAUAAAUAAAAAAAUAAAUAAAUAAAUAAACAUGACAUAUUUUGCGGUGCGACCGAUUGAAGGGUAAACUUUCCGCAGCUAUCCGUAGCGAAAAUUCAACUCAACCGAGGUCGAGGGUGAACAUGGUAAAGCGGUCGGAGUCGAACUAAAUCUAUAGUUAUUCUCAUCGUUUCCCAAACUACAAGAAUUUUUUUGUCGCCUACUUCCCCUCUAUGGUUGACCCUGAGACAGAAAAUGAAAAUAACUCACAACUCUCAUUUUCAUCACCUCUUCAUGGCCCAGAUUCCAAAUCUCGGCUAAAAAUCUACAAUUUUUAGUGAGAAUAUUGAGUCUCCUGACUCUGUUUCCUCUACAAUAAUACAAUAGUGGAUAAGCCUGUGUAGAAUCUCCUUUUUCUGUGUCAUCUAUUAGUCUUUUUCACAGAAUCUAUCUCCUCUGAUUCAUUCAAAUGAUCAGGGCCGGAUUUACCUAUAGGGCACUGGGGCGCAUGCCCAUAGCGGCAAAUUUUGAGGGGCGGCAAAUUUUGGCGAUGGGAAAAUUUUGGCACUGGAUUAAUUGAAAGUUGAAAGGAGAAAAAAGAAAAAAAUGGAAGUAGAGACGGAGCGAAGUGAACAGAUGAGCGGCAAAAUGUAUGAAGGAAAGGAGUUGACGGGAGCGGCAAAGCUGCCGCCCCCUAGGUCCGGCCUCGAGUGCUAGGAUGAUCGUUCGUUGGAGUGAUCCCAAGAGAAACUAAACAACACGGGAAUUUUUAACAUCGAGACAGACUUGACUAUCAAUUUAGACAUUAAUGCUCUGGUUGACAGCUUUGAUAAACUGAAAACCCGGAGAAAAACGAAAAACUGAUCUUCCGAACAUACAUAGUAAGUAAUACUUACAUUGAGCUACGCUAGCUUCAAGUUUGUCUCCACAUUUUAUUUUUGCCUGAUCCAUCCAUUCCAUUUUAUAUAUUCGCGGCGCAUUUUGAAGUAGCUACGCCCACGCGGCGCACGAGGGGGGGGGGGGGGGCAAGAUGAGUGGCGUGGGAAGUUGGAAGUGCGGGGAGGAGGAGGGGGGGAAUAUUGCAGACCUAGGGCGGCAAAAUGUAGCUUGCCCAGGGGCGGCAAAAUGUAGCUUGCCCAGGGGCGGCAAAAAGCUAAAUCCGGCCCUGCAAAUGAUGGAUUUCUCCUGACUUUCCCCUGUAUUUCGUCACUUAUUUCGGCCCUUUGCAAUGUUGCAUAAUAGAGCGGCCGCAGCCUCUCGACUCACAAGAGCGGCCUUGAAAAGGCCCCACGCCACUCGGCUAAAGAGGUUGCGGGCCGCGUAACAAUAAUGCCGGCUAGUUUGCAUGUUUCGAGUCAAAUUCUGUGGAUGAGGUUCUCAUGUGAUACGUCUAUUUUUUGGAGUAAGUAUUUCAUCUAGUUUUAUAUUUUGGAUACUUCACUGCAAUAAAUCAAGCAAAAGAAGCACUAGAGCAAUAUUUUCACAAAAUUUUAAAAGCAUUCUUAAUUUUGGGGCUGUUUUGGAGGGUUUUGGGGUGAAAUUUUCAGGUACGCACGGUGAGUCACUUGAAGUUGGAUUCUCCGGCUUAUUCUGCAUUCAUACAGAUGUAACCAUAUGUCAUUUGGGUGCAAUUCUAAAGUUUGCUUAGGAAGUUUUAAAAUGUUCAAUUUUUGGGUUUUUUUAGGGGUUUUGGGAUUUAAAACACGAUUUAGCGCUGUGAUCUGGACAAAUUCGGAUUCAGCUGAUUUUUCUGCGUUCAUUGGUGUAUAGAAACCUUUUGUUGCAAUUUGUUCCGGGGCCAUCAAUAGAUGCGAGGCAGUCCACCCGCGCCUGCUAAAAAAACAUUCCCACAUUUCAAUCGGGAAAAGAGGUUUUCGCUUACGACCGCGCCUGUAAACUGCAAAAAAAAUCUGUCGAUCUAAACGAAAGAGGCUUCAUAGGUAGCCGUUUGGUGGCGUACCUUGAGAGUUAAGUUCCGUCAAGGUGGUAUACCUAUACUAUAAUAUCAACAUUUUUCAAUAAGGUUUGAAAUGCAAUCCUAACUUCUAAUCUGCGUAAGAAAUUUGCGUUUUUUUGAGCUCCCCCCUUCCAAAACGAUACUACGGCACAGGUGAACAUUCCGUCAGAGGUGUCAUUCCAUUUAACCCUUUCGCAAUUGCAAUAUACAUACCCAACAUAGCCGACGCUUCCUUGCGCAGUCGCAAUCGGGACUGCCACAAGGUCAACCAAAGCGGAUCUUUAUCAACGCAAAUAAAUCGUGAAUGUACAUAGACACGCUGGGUUGUCACAAAUGGUUAGAAUCUCGUCCACGGCUGAUAGUUUUGCGACAUCGCAAUGAAGGGCAUCCUUGUUCAUCCUGCACGAUGUUUAGGAGCAUGCGUAUGGAAUGAGCUGUGGCUCCACGCACCACUUUUUUCUGUCUCUCUCUAAUUUGGUGCGUGGGCUCCACGACCGCGACCCGUGGAUCCGAUGCACCAGUUUUCGGGGGGGUUGAGUGCGUGGAUCCGAUGCACCAGUUUCCGAGUAGGAUGAGUUCGUGGAUCCCACGCACCGUUACCACAUCGUGUACCUCUGUUCUUCCUUCGCUAAACGAUUGGCUCAACCUACGAAAAUUUCCAUAGCACGGCUCUUUUGAACCAAAGUUCAACAAAAACCCAAUGAAAAAACCUGUUACCACCGAUAUUCCCCG
rnacentral:lncRNA from 1 species